AAUGCCCGCCUGCACGCCUUGCAAACAAGCAGCAGUGGCUAUUUAUCCUCGUCUACCACAAGAAGUACUCGCGCUAAGCAUACUUAACACAUUAAAGAAUACAAACUUCACUGGGGUAAUUUGAGGCAUUCAUUUUUCUUUCCGAGGACGGUAAGGGAAUGGAAGGUGUUCUCCAAUGAUCUUGAGUACAGCCCGUUCGCCGUAUGCUUCCUCUGUGAGCUAUCUGAUUAGAUUAACUGUUCCUGAAAGGCUUCACUGUAAGGCCCAUUGUUAUGCGGGCAGACUGAUCUAGUUCAUCGAUUCCCAAAGUGGGCCACUUUCGCACCAAGCCUGCGGCGCCAGGAGUUCAUUAAUGACUGGCCGCCGGCCAAAGCCCCUGUCCGAAAGCCUGGGAGUAAAGGCAUCAACCUGCCUCGCCUGGUACCGGGCGCUUGUCUACACUCAAGUACUACGGAGCAAGAAAUUGUCACGGACAUACUUCAAUACAACACGCGUUCGCUAAGAGUAUGCAAAUACACAGGCAAAAGCUGCGAUAAGAAAUGUGAAAGCAAUAAAUAACAGUCAAGGAGACAUACAUCAACAGCGACAUACACCGCUAUGGCGUGGCUAAACUAGGAAACAACAUGCUAUUACUAAGAUGUGUGCACAAACAGAGGCAAUGGUACAUAAAGGUGAGAAUAAUAACACAUAAGACCUGAAAGCAUCUGAGUUUGCGUACGUAACAGUAAGUACAUUUUGAAAAUUGUUUUAAACACUUCGAUGGUAUUGACAUAAUGUUCUUGGGGAAA